UUAUGGAGAGUUUGAUCCUGGCUCAGAACGAACGCUGACGGCGUGGAUUAGGCAUGCAAGUCGAACGAGAUAUAGAAAGUUUGAUCCUUCGGGUGAAAAACUUUCUAUUGAGAGUGGCGAAAGGGUGAGUAAUGCGUGAAUAACAUACCUUUAAGACUGGAAUAACACUCCGAAAGGAAUGCUAAUACCAGAUGCAAAUAGCGGGUGGCAUCGCUUGCUAUUUAAAGGUGGGGACCUUCGGGCCUGCCGCUUAAAGAGUGGUUCACGUCCUAUUAGCUAGUUGGUAGGGUAACGGCCUACCAAGGCAAUGAUGGGUAGCUGGCCUGAGAGGGUGGCCAGCCACACUGGGACUGAGACACUGCCCAGACUCUACGGAGGCUGCAGUCGAGAAUCUUCCGCAAUGGACGAAAGUCUGACGGAGCGACGCCGUGUGUGUGAUGAAGUUCUUCGGGGCGUAAAACACUGUCACAAGGGAAGAAACACAUCAGAAGUAACAUUGCUGGUGUCUGACGGUACCUUGAGAGGAAGCCCCGGCUAACUUCGUGCCAGCAGCCGCGGUAAUACGAAGAGGGGCAAGCGUUGUUCGGAUUUAUUGGGCGUAAAGGGCGUCUAGGUGGCUUUUUAAGUCAGGUGUGAAAUCCUACGGCUCAACCGUAGAACUGCAUUUGAUACUGAAGGGCUUGAGUACAGAAGAGGAAAGCAGAAUUCCCAGUGUAGCGGUGAAAUGCGUAGAUAUUGGGAGGAAUACCAGUGGCGAAGGCGGCUUUCUGGUCUGAUACUGACACUGAAGCGCGAAAGCCAGGGGAGCAAACGGGAUUAGAUACCCCGGUAGUCCUGGCAGUAAACGAUGGGUACUUGGUGUUGGGGGUAUCGACUCCCUCAGUGCCGGAGUUAACACAUUAAGUACCCCGCCUGGGGAGUACGGCCGCAAGGUUGAAACUCAAAGGAAUUGACGGGGGCCCGCACAAGCGGUGGAACAUGUGGCUUAAUACGACGCAACGCGUAGAACCUUACCAAGGCUUGACAUGUAUUGGACAGGGUAUGAAAGUACCUCUCUUCGGAGCCGAUACACAGGUGUUGCAUGGCUGUCGUCAGCUCGUGUCGUGAGAUGUUGGGUUAAGUCCCGCAACGAGCGCAACCCUUGUUUCUAGUUACCAGCACUUCGGGUGGGGACUCUAGAGAGACUGCCGGUGAUAAACCGGAGGAAGGUGGGGAUGACGUCAAGUCAUUAUGGCCCUUACGCCUUGGGCUGCACACGUGUUACAAUGAUCGGUACAAAGGGUUGCAAUACCGCGAGGUGGAGCUAAUCUCAAAAGCCGGUCCCAGUUCGGAUUGAAGUCUGCAAUUCGACUUCAUGAAGUCGGAAUCGCUAGUAAUGGCGUAUCAGCUACGACGCCGUGAAUACGUUCCCGGGCCUUGUACACACCGCCCGUCACAUCAUGAAAGUUUGCUGUACCCGAAGUCAAUGAUCUAACCCCUUACGGGAGGAAGUUGCCGAAGGUAUGGCCAAUGAUUGGGAUGAAGUCGUAACAAGGUAGCCGUAUCGGAAGGUGCGGCUGGAUCACCUCCUUUCUAAGGAG
rnacentral:rRNA from 1 species